UUACGGCCAUAUCAUGUUGAAACACCGGUUCCUGUACGAUCACCGAGGUUAAGCAACGUCGAGUCUGGUCAAUACCUAGAUGGGUGAUCGCUUGGGAAUACUAGGUGCUGUAAG